rnacentral:rRNA from 1 species
GUAGUCAUAUGCUUGUCUCAAAGAUUAAGCCAUGCAUGUCUAAGUAUAAGCAAUUACAAAGCGAAACUGCGAAUGGCUCAUUAUAUAAGUUAUCGUUUAUUUGAUAGUACCUUACUACAUGGAUAACCGUGGUAAUUCUAGAGCUAAUACAUGCUGAAAAUCCCGACUUCGGAAGGGAUGUAUUUAUUGGAUACAAAACCAAUGCCCUUCGGGGCUCUCUUGGUGAUUCAUGAUAACUUCUCGAAUCGCACGGCCCCGCGCCGGCGAUGGUUCAUUCAAAUUUCUUCCCUAUCAACUUUCGAUGCUACGGUAUUGUCCUAGCAUGGUUGCAACGGGUGACGGAGGGUUAGGGCUCGACCCCGGAGAAGGAGCCUGAGAAACGGCUACUACAUCCAAGGAAGGCAGCAGGCGCGCAAAUUACCCAAUCCCGACUCGGGGAGGUAGUGACGAUAAAUACCGAUACAGGGCUCUUUUGGGUCCUGUAAUUGGAAUGAGUACAAUUC